GACAGAGGAAGGUCACUUUCUAUUACAUUUUUGAUCCCAUGGAUCUUUAUUAUGUUGAAAUUUGUUACAGCCUAAUUUUUUUUGCCAAAUAUAAGUUAACUGACAAACAAAAGAAAAACAUAUAUACAAGUGUUCCUUAUUAAUAUUAAAUACUUAAUGAAAAUGAUAUAUCAAAUAUAUAUGGAAAUUUGUCAUUUGAGCUCUGAAAUCCCUACAAUGAUACCUCCUUAUUAACUUUCAAAAGUACAUAUGAACUUGGGAACUAUUUUUAUGACUGAAUUAUGGAAAUACAGCAGUUGUUUUACUGGAAAAUGUUAUAUUGUAUUAAGAUGGACUGGGCAUCAAAGUAACUUAACAGGAAAGGCUGUAGAGAGCAGAAGAAGACAGGCAGCAUGAUACAGAUAUCAACCCUCCUGCUCCAUUCAUCUCGCUGAGCAGACCACCCAGUGUAUGAACACAAGACUUUCAAAUCUGGUGCCUAAUUCCUGAGUGAGUCAGUCAUGUCAGCCCUGGUAUCAGCUUGGCAGCCUUUCUGUGAGAGUUCAGGCAUUGUGCUGCAGCUUGCCUCUCUGCAUAAUCACAGGCAUGUUGUCUCAUUUAUACUGAAUGUGAACUUUAAACUUUAUCUGUCCAUUAGGUGACCUAAAACUAUUUCAACCCUGACAUUUUAGUUCUUGUUCAGUUUCAGUCUUUCAUCUGCACUCACUGUUGUCUCUGUGGGUAGUUUCUUAAAGCACAAUCUCGUAACACCUGUUUGCUCCUUGUGGUUUUCCUGUACUUCAGCCCUUUGCUGCAUGCUGAACCUUUAUCUGUGAUUACUGUCUGCUUGUGAAAGUAGUUUUCUUUAAAGCAUACUUUAAAAGGGACAAGGUGAAGCAUCUUGACAAGUUCAAAGAAACUUACUAAAUACAACCAGUUAAUCUUAAAUGUAAGAAGAAAUUCUGCUAAAGCAGAAUGUAUUUUUUCUUCCUUCAACAUGAUUAAAGGAAGUCACCAGCUUCUGAAGGCACCAAGAUUGUGAAUUUCUAGAAGUCAUUAAAAGCAAAUGUUUUAAUAAAAAUGUAUUUAAAGAAAGGUGUAUAAAUUAG
rnacentral:lncRNA from 1 species